rnacentral:rRNA from 1 species
GACGAACGCUGGCGGCGCGCCUAACACAUGCAAGUCGAACGAGCGAGAGAGAGCUUGCUUUCUCGAGCGAGUGGCGAACGGGUGAGUAACGCGUGAGGAACCUGCCUCAAAGAGGGGGACAACAGUUGGAAACGACUGCUAAUACCGCAUAAGCCCACGGGUCGGCAUCGACCAGAGGGAAAAGGAGCAAUCCGCUUUGAGAUGGCCUCGCGUCCGAUUAGCUAGUUGGUGAGGUAAUGGCCCACCAAGGCGACGAUCGGUAGCCGGACUGAGAGGUUGAACGGCCACAUUGGGACUGAGACACGGCCCAGACUCCUACGGGAGGCAGCAGUGGGGAAUAUUGCACAAUGGGGGAAACCCUGAUGCAGCGACGCCGCGUGGAGGAAGAAGGUCUUCGGAUUGUAAACUCCUGUUGUUGGGGAAGAUAAUGACGGUACCCAACAAGGAAGGGACGGCUAACUACG